rnacentral:rRNA from 1 species
AACAGGAUUAGAUACCCUGGUAGUCCACGCUGUAAACGGUGGGUACUAGGUGUGGGGUCCAUUCCACGGGUUCCGUGCCGUAGCUAACGCUUUAAGUACCCCGCCUGGGGAGUACGGCCGCAAGGCUAAAACUCAAAGGAAUUGACGGGGCCCCGCACAAGCGGCGGAGCAUGCGGAUUAAUUCGAUGCAACGCGUAGAACCUUACCUGGGUUUGACAUGGAUCGGGAGCGCUCAGAGAUGGGUGUGCCUCUUUUGGGGUCGGUUCACAGGUGGUGCAUGGCUGUCGUCAGCUCGUGUCGUGAGAUGUUGGGUUAAGUCCCGCAACGAGCGCAACCCUUGUUCACUGUUGCCAGCACGUUAUGGUGGGGACUCAGUGGAGACCGCCGGGGUCAACUCGGAGGAAGGUGGGGAUGACGUCAAGUCAUCAUGCCCCUUAUGUCCAGGGCUUCACGCAUGCUACAAUGGCUGGUACAGAGAGUGGCGAGCCUGUGAGGGUGAGCGAAUCUCGGAAAGCCGGUCUCAGUUCGGAUUGGGGUCUGCAACUCGACCUCAUGAAGUCGGAGUCGCUAGUAAUCGCAGAUCAGCAACGCUGCGGUGAAUACGUUCCCGGGGCUUGUACACACCGCCCGUCAAGUCAUGAAAGUUGGUAACACCCGAAGCCGGUGGCCUAACCGUUGUGGGGGAGCCGUCGAAGGUGGGACUGGUGAUUAGGACUAAGUCGUAACAAGGUAACC